GAUGAACGCUGGCGGCGUGCUUAACACAUGCAAGUCGAACGAAGCACUUUUAUUUGAUUUCUUCGGAAUGAAGAUUUUAGUGACUGAGUGGCGGACGGGUGAGUAACGCGUGGGUAACCUGCCUCAUACAGGGGGAUAACAGUUAGAAAUGACUGCUAAUACCGCAUAAGACCACAGCACCGCAUGAUGCAGAGGUAAAAACUCCGGUGGUAUGAGAUGGACCCGCGUCUGAUUAGGUAGUUGGUGGGGUAACGGCCUACCAAGCCGACGAUCAGUAGCCGACCUGAGAGGGUGACCGGCCACAUUGGGACUGAGACACGGCCCAAACUCCUACGGGAGGCAGCAGUGGGGAAUAUUGCACAAUGGGGGAAACCCUGAUGCAGCGACGCCGCGUGAGCGAUGAAGUAUUUCGGUAUGUAAAGCUCUAUCAGCAGGGAAGAAAAUGACGGUACCUGACUAAGAAGCACCGGCUAAAUACGUGCCAGCCGCCGCAGUAA
rnacentral:rRNA from 1 species